rnacentral:lncRNA from 1 species
AUGAAGUAAGUAGGCUUAAAGGCACAUUAGAUAAGUUUAAUUCUUCGCACAAAAACUUGAAUGAUGUUCUUGUUAACUUGAAAUCAACCAAGAAUGGAAUAGGCUUUAAAAAUGAAGAAAAGGUUGCAGCUAAACCCAAACAACCUAAAGCUCAACCUAGGAUUAACAAUAGAAAUGCUUAUCCUAGAAACAACAACUCUAGAGCCAACAUGCAUGCUAGACAAAAUGCUGAACAUCCUAGAAGACUUGGGAAUGACUUACCACCUAGAAAUAGUCACCCAAGAAAUGAUGCAUACUUUAGGCCAAAUUUUGAACCCCUUAGAAGACCGAGCAAUGGCCCUCAACCGAGAAACAAUCACUCUAGAAAUG